AGUGAACGCUGGCGGUAGGCCUAACACAUGCAAGUCGAACGGCAGCACAGUAAGAGCUUGCUCUUACGGGUGGCGAGUGGCGGACGGGUGCGGAAUACAUCGGAAUCUACUUUUUCGUGGGGGAUCACGUAGGGAAACUUACGCUAAUACCGCAUACGACCUACGGGUGAAAGCAGGGGAUCUUCGGACCUUGCGCGAUUGAAUGAGCCGAUGUCGGAUUAGCUAGUUGGCGGGGUAAAGGCCCACCAAGGCGACGAUCCGUAGCUGGUCUGAGAGGAUGAUCAGCCACACUGGAACUGAGACACGGUCCAGACUCCUACGGGAGGCAGCAGUGGGGAAUAUUGGACAAUGGGCGCAAGCCUGAUCCAGCCAUACCGCGUGGGUGAAGAAGGCCUUCGGGUUGUAAAGCCCUUUUGUUGGGAAAGAAAAGCAGCAGGUUAAUACCCCGCUGUUCUGGCGGUACCCAAAGAAUAAGCACCGGCUAACUUCGUG
rnacentral:rRNA from 1 species